GAUGAACGCUGGCGGCGUGCCUAAUACAUGCAAGUCGAGCGAACAGACGAGGAGCUUGCUCCUCUGACGUUAGCGGCGGACGGGUGAGUAACACGUGGAUAACCUACCUAUAUGACUGGGAUAACUUCGGGAAACCGGAGCUAAUACCGGAUAAUAUAUUGAACCGCAUGGUUCAAUAGUGAAAGACGGCUUUGCUGUCUCUUAUAGAUGGAUCCGCGCUGCUUUGGCUAGUUGGUAAGGUAACGGCUUACCAAGGCGACGAUGCGUAGCCGACCUGAUAGGGUGAUCGGCCACACUGGAACUGAGACACGGUCCAGACUCCUACGGGAGGCAGCAGUAGGGAAUCUGCCGCAAUGGGCGAAAGCCUGACGGAGCAACGCCGCGUGAGUGAUGAAGGUCUUCGGAUCGUAAAACUCUGUUAUUAGGGAAGAACAAAUGUGUAAGUAACUAUGCACGUCUUGACGGUACCUAAUCAGAAAGCCACGGCUAACUACGUG
rnacentral:rRNA from 1 species